GUUUGGCAUGGGGACGCACUGUUACAGUUGCGCUCCUGGUUGGCUUUGUGUUUCCGCGGUGUUGGUAGAGUCUCGGUGUUUCUACCUCUUAGCACCCUUUCCUGCCACCCUUUGUCCUGUGGAAGCCCGGAGACAUCAGCGGCUGCAAUUUUGCUACUCGCUGCUCGGCAUGGAACGGUCAGGUACCGCAGUUCAGCGCUCUUGGCCCCGCAGGUCCUCGGGCAUCCCCGUGCCCCGUGCUGUACAUUCAGUUAUCCUCCGACUUCCCGGGGUCGAAGGUAUUACCUGCUGGGUUUUAGAAUCUAUUGCUUUACAUCUGAGAAAAGAAAAAUCCCAGAAAGAUAAGAUGACUUGCCCAAGAUCAUAGCGUGCCUGGAAAACAGUGCUCCGAUUACAAGCUGGUCGCUGUGCCUCAUUCGUCUUGUCAUCAACUCCUGUCAGUUUAUCCAAGCUCCAAAAGCGAAGUUGUUUUAGCUUUUGCUUCCCAAGAUUUAUUUGAUAGUCUCAUUUCUGUUUCCUUCGUUUAUUCUUUCGUUCAUUAUUGGAAAACUUUACAGCGUGCCAGUACUGGUCAUAAACCCCAAGUAAGACAGUCUUGUCGUCACGGAGGGUGUAGUUCCAGCAAGUAGACAAUACAAGUGCUGUGUAGUGAAGUAAUUGCUGAGAUAGUGUAUGGAAGCACAGAGUACACUAUUCAUGCAACAAGUAAUUGCUAGAGGAGCAAAUAGGGACACCUAACCAUUGCAGGGGCGACUCAGGAUAUCCUUUCUGGAAGAAAAGUCUGAUGAAAUCUGAAGGACCACUGGUUGAAAUUAGCCAGGAAAGAAAAGAUGUUGCAGCAUACUUGGUUUUGCUAUUUAUCCUCCGAGUACUUUAUUGUUAUGAAAGCCUAAUUCCACUGUGUAACUUCCAUGCAUAACACUCAGAAGCCAGUUUGGUUAAGUACAGUGCUGAAGCAGAUUAGUAGCAGUGAAGAUGGGAAGGACCAGCUGAAUGGAGGAGAAAAAUUGCCCAGGUAGAAUUAAGGGGAUGUGACAUCAUGGGAUAAUGGUAGGGUGGUCAGAGAGAGCAAAGAUUUCAACUGGCUGCGUUGGAGUUGGUAUCCUUAAUGUUAGCAGAAGAAUGCAGAUCCGGGGUUGAGAAAGAUUUUUACAUAUGUUAUAGUUUUUAGAAAACAAACAAAAAAAAUCUGUUUAUGUCAGGGGCAUUUUAAUAUAGAAGUGUGAAAAAUGGAAAGUCAGUCUGAAAGGGGACGUCUUGAAUGUCGUUUUGAAGGUGUUGCAUUUGAAGUACUGAUGCGAUGCUGUCAGUGGAAACAAACUCAGGUGGGAGGUUAGGUUUAGAAUUUUAUUAUAUUAGUGUUAUGGAGUUAUUUAUACAUGGUUUUCCUAUAAUGUAGAUUGCUUUCUGUGGUAUGAUAGCAGUCUUGAAAGAAAACACGGUAGUAAAGAUUAUAUGUGAGAUUCAUUCCCCUGAUUACCACCUUUCUGUAAAAAUACCUUUAGUAUUAACUAUUUAUUUAGAGCCGGAGUUUCGCUCUUACUGCCCAGGCUGAUCUUGACUCACCGCAACCUCUGCCUCCCAUGUUCAAGAGAUUCUCCUGCAUCAGCCUCCCAAAUAGAUGGGACUACA
rnacentral:lncRNA from 1 species